GCCAUGCCGCGUGAGUGAAGAAGGCCUUCGGGUUGUAAAGCUCUUUCGGCCGGGAAGAAAUCGUGUUCUCUAAUACCCGACGUGGAUGACGGUACCGGACUAAUAAGCACCGGCUAACUACGUGCCAGCAGCCGCGGUAAUACGAAGGGUGCGAGCGUUAAUCGGAAUUACUGGGCGUAAAGGGUGCGUAGGCGGUUUGUUAAGACAGAUGUGAAAUCCCCGGGCUCAACCUGGGAAUUGCGUUUGAGACUGGAAGGCUGGAGUGCGGUAGAGGGGGGUGGAAUUCCCGGUGUAGCAGUGAAAUGCGUAGAUAUCGGGAGGAACAUCGAUGGCGAAGGCAGCCCCCUGGACCAGCACUGACGCUCAGGCACGAAAGCGUGGGGAGCAAACAGGAUUAGAUACCCUGGUAGUCCACGCCCUAAACGAUGCGAACUGGAUGUUGGGCUCACUUAGGAGUUCAGUAUCGAAGCUAACGCGUUAAGUUCGCCGCCUGGGGAGUACGGUCGCAAGGCUGAAACUCA
rnacentral:rRNA from 1 species